rnacentral:rRNA from 1 species
UACGUAGGGUGCAAGCGUUGUCCGGAAUUAUUGGGCGUAAAGAGCUCGUAGGCGGUUUGUCGCGUCUGCUGUGAAAACUCGGGGCUUAACUCCGGGCCUGCAGUGGGUACGGGCAGACUAGAGUGCGGUAGGGGAGACUGGAAUCCCUGGUGUAGCGGUGAAAUGCGCAGAUAUCGGGAGGAACACCAAUGGCGAAGGCAGCUCGCUGGGACGGUACUGACGCUAAGGCGCGAAAGCGUGGGGAGCGAACAGG